rnacentral:rRNA from 1 species
GGGGAAGGGUAGCUUGCUACCUGACCUAGCGGCGGACGGGUGAGUAAUGCUUAGGAAUCUGCCUAUUAGUGGGGGACAACAUUCCGAAAGGAAUGCUAAUACCGCAUACGCCCUACGGGGGAAAGCAGGGGGAUCUUCGGACCUUGCGCUAAUAGAUGAGCCUAAGUCAGAUUAGCUAGUUGGUGGGGUAAAGGCCUACCAAGGCGACGAUCUGUAGCGGGUCUGAGAGGAUGAUCCGCCACACUGGGACUGAGACACGGCCCAGACUCCUACGGGAGGCAGCAGUGGGGAAUAUUGGACAAUGGGCGAAAGCCUGAUCCAGCCAUGCCGCGUGUGUGAAGAAAGCCUUUUGGUUGUAAAGCACUUUAAGCGAGGAGGAGGCUACUGAGAAUAAUACUCUUGGAUAGGGGACGUUACUCGCAGAAUAAGCACCCGCUUACUUUGUGCCAACCAGCCGCGGGUAUACAAAGGGGGCGAGCGUUAAUCGGAUUUACUUGGGC